GCUCCCGUGGCGUAGUGGUCACUGCACUCGCCUUGCACGCGGGAGACCCGGGUUCGAUUCCCGGCGGGGUCA
rfam:Asian citrus Psyllid, Diaphorina citri - Florida Strain, whole genome shotgun sequence.